AAGAGGCUGAUUUGAGCAUAAUAAGACUCCAGUCUUCUCCUUCGCCAGCUCUACAUGUGAAAAACUCUUUCUCUACUGCAAUUCCCCUGCCUUUAUAAAUUGGCUCUAUCUGGGCAGCAGGCAAGAAGAACCCAUUGGACACUUACAGUCCCAACAGUUUUAAGUUCCACUUCUCCCAACAGUAAGUAAUCUGCUCAUUAACACACGCUUUAUUGGCUCUUCUCCCUUCCCUGUCUCACUCUUCCCAGCCCUUCACUCAGUGCCCCUCCUAAAUAAACUACUUAUAUCCAAGUACUUGUCCCAGGAUGUGCUUUUGGAGAAACCUAAAAUAAAACAGUAAUUUUUGUGGCUAUUCAUACCUAUUAAUGGACAUUUAACUACUUACCUUUCCUUUUCUUAUUUAUUUAUUUCUGUAUUUAUUUACUCAUUUUUGAGACACAGUCUCACUCUGUGGUCCAGCCUGGAGUACAGUGGUAUGGCUCACUGCAACCUCCAUCUCUCAGGCUCAAAUGAUCCUCUCACCUCAGAUGCCUGAGUAGCUGCGAUCACAGAUGUGCACCACUACACCUGGCUAAUUUUCGUAUUUUUUUGCAGAGACGGGGCUUCACCAUGUUGCUCAGGCUGUUCUCAAACUCCUGGCCUCAAGUGAUUUGCCUACCUGGGCCUCCCAAAAUGCUAGGAUUGUCAGAGGCGUGUGAACCACAGCAAUCCCAUCUUAAAUAAGAGCUGGGUAAAAUAAGGCUGAAACCUACUGGGCUGCAUUCCCACAUGGUUAAGGUAUUCUAAGUCACAGGAUGAGACAGCAGGCCAGCACAAAAUAUAGGUCAUAAAGACAUUGCUGAUAAAGCAGUUUUCAAUAAAGGAGCCAGCCAAAACCCACCAAAACCAAAAUGGCGAUGAGAGUGACCUCUGGUCAUCCUCACUGCUACACUCCCACCAGCGCCAUGACAGUUUACAAAUGCCAUGGCAAUGUCAGCAAGUUACCCUAUAUGGUCUAAAAAGGGGGGCUGGGUGCCCUGGCUCACGUCUGUAAUCCCAGCACUUUGGGAGGCCGAGGUAGGCAAAUCACUUGAGGCCAGGAG
rnacentral:lncRNA from 1 species